CUGUGGGCACCUCUCUCCUUGCUUUCCUGGAGGCCUGGCCUCUUCUUGCUCCUGGAAACCUGGCACUGAGCAGAUCUGACCCCUGGCCCUAGGAAGCCCUCCCUCCCAGGGCUCCAGGUCGUGAGAACCAGCCCAGGUGUGUCCCCUGGGGCCCUGUCACCCGGGCCCAGCUGUCCCCAUGAUCCUGGAGCUGGACCUGAGGCUCAGGGCCGCAGCUGAGGGUAGGAGGGAAAAGAGAGCUUCGCUUCCCCACACCUGCGCAGCACACCCCAGCUUGUCGGGGCGGGGAGCUUGCUGAACACUCACGGUACUCGUGCGGCUGUCUCCGGGAGAGUUCUAGAAAUCUGUAUUUUUAGCAGGUGCACCAGAAAUUCUCAAUUGGACAAAGGAAAUCUACUCAGAGAGAGAAGGUGCCUCCUGGGUCAUGCCAGAGCAUUCCAUGCACCAGGCCACAGCAGCGGUCCUGAAUAGCUCUUGAAGCAUCAGACCCGGGCUCUGAUUCAGCAGCGGAGGCCCCAGAGACAAGUUCCCUGCCUUCCAACCUCAAGACGGAAGGGGUGGUGGUGGUGACAUACUUUUUAAAAAGCACAAAUAAUAAAAGAGCCACCCUACGUA